UUUAUGCAGACUCCUAAUAUGCUCGACAAAGGAAGAUGCAGACUCAGACACUAGCGUGAACUGACAAUGGGAUCAAGUCUAUAGGUUUUCAAGGAUGGUGGCCAUGCAUAACCUUGAAUGGACUCAUGCCUAUAGAUCUAUUUAUUGAACUAUUGUAUGCAAACUCUGCUCAGGGUAAAAGUAAAUCCCAAUUUCCAACAUGGUCCCUGACUAACCACC
rnacentral:lncRNA from 1 species